GAGCUCAUAGUUCAAUUGGUAGAACAUAUCGCUCAUAACGGUAAUUGUAUAGGUUCGAUCCCUAUUGGGCUUA